AUUGAACGCUGGCGGCAGGCCUAACACAUGCAAGUCGAGCGAGCGGCGGACGGGUGAGUAAUGUAUGGGGAUCUGCCCGAUAGAGGGGGAUAACUACUGUAAACGGUUGCUAAUACCGCAUAUACUCGGAAGCACCAAUAUGGGAUUAGCUAGUAGGUGGGGUAAAGGCCCACAUAGGCCACGAGCGCCAGCUGGUCUGUGAGUAGUAUCAGCCACACUGGGACUGAGACACGGCCCAGACUCCUACGGGAGGCAGGAGUGGGGAAUUUUGCACAAUGGGCGCAGGCCUGAUGCAGCCAUUCCGCGUGUAUGAAGAAGUCCUUAGGGUUGUAAAGUACUUUCAGCGGGGAGGCGUUACCCGCAGAAGAAGCACCGGCUAACUCCGUGCCAGCCGCCGCGGUAAUUC
rnacentral:rRNA from 1 species